ACAAUCUCGGGGUAAGUUCUGGGGGAAACGCGUAAUGACCAUUAAAGCUGGUGACAUUACGUAAGGUAGGUAUCAGUAAAACUUUACUGAUAGAAGGGAUACUAGUGGCAACGGUGCCAUAUAAACGGGAAACCCAACA
ncrna:Aliivibrio salmonicida LFI1238 DABA-DC-AT RNA